rnacentral:misc_RNA from 1 species
UGAAGAAAGUGGAAAAAGACGAGAAGAUGAAGAAGAAGAGGAAGACAAAAAUGAAGAGGAAGGACGAGUUGGAGGAGGAAGGACAUGAAAAUGCUAACGAUGACGAUGGCGAGGAUGGCGUGGAAGGGAAGGUUGAGGAGGAUGAGGAGAAAGAGAACGAGGAAAAGAAGUUUAAGACUGUUGGAUCAGGAAUUAUGAGUACUGUUUCAUUUGAUUCGCUUGACUUGUCGGAGAAA